rnacentral:siRNA from 1 species
GAUUACACAUGACCUUGGUUCCC